CACUUCUAAGGAAGGCAGCAGGCGCGCAAAUUACCCAAUCCUGACUCAGGGAGGUAGUGACAAGAAAUAACAAUAAACCGGCUUAUGCCGGUUUAAUUGGAAUGAGUACAAUUUAAACAUCUUAACGAGGAACAAUUGGAGGGCAAGUCUGGUGCCAGCAGCCGCGGUAAUUCCAGCUCCAAUAGCGUAUACUAAAGUUGUUGCAGUUAAAAAGCUCGUAGUUGGAUUUCUGUGGGGACGGAGCGGCCGGCCGCAACUCGCGGUUCGAGCUAGCGCUUUCCCUACAUCCUGCCGCGAACCGUGCUACCAUUAAUUUGGUGGCGCCGGGGAUCGGCUCGAUUACUUUGAGAAAAAUAGAGUGUUCAAAGCAGGCCACACGCCUUGAAUAAGUUAGCAUGGAAUAAUAACUAAGGACUUCGGUUCUAUUUUGUUGGUGUUCGGGACUGAAGUAAUGAUUGAUAGGGACAGUUGGGGCGGUCUGUAUUCCAAAGCGAGAGGUGAAAUUCUUAGACCUUCGGAAGACAAACAGCUGCGAAAGCGUUCCGCAAGGAUGUUCCCUUUGAUCAAGAACGAAAGUUGGGGGAUCGAAGACGAUCAGAUACCGUCGUAGUCUCAACUAUAAACUAUACCAGCUAGGGAUCGGCCAACGUUAUUUAAACCGACUUGGUCGGCACCUUAUGAGAAAUCAAAGCAUCUGGGUUCCGGGUGGAGUAUGGUCGCAAGGCUGAAACUUAAAGGAAUUGACGGAAGGGCACCACCAGCCGUGGAGCCUGUGGCUUAAUUUGACUCAACACGGGAAAACUUACCAGGUCCAGACAUAGUAAGGAUUGACAGAUUGAUAGCUCUUUCUUGAUUCUGUGGGUGGUGGUGCAUGGCCGUUCUUAGUUGGUGGAGUGAUUUGUCUGGUUAAUUCCGUUAACGAACGAGACCCCAGCCUGCUAAAUAGCGCGCGUGAGCUUUGCUCGCGGCGAGCUUCUUAGAGGGACUAUGAUGCGCGAUAGCACAUGGAAGUUUGGGGCAAUAACAGGUCUGUGAUGCCCUUAGAUGUUCUGGGCCGCACACGGGCUACACUGGCGCCUGCAACGAGCAUAUCAGCUGGCCCGAGAGGGUCUUGGCUAAUCUUUUGAACCGGCGCCGUGCUUGGGAUUGACCUUUGCAAUUGUUGGUCAUGCAACGAGGAAUGCCUUGUAAACGCGAGUCAUCAGCUCGCAUUGAAUACGUCCCUGCCCUUUGUACACACCGCCCGUCGCUCCUACCGAUGAAUGUUCCGAUGAAAUUUUCGGAGAGCACCUGUGAACUUGGCUCUGCCUUGCGAACGGGAGGCUCAAAGUCACUUAAAUCUGAACAUUUCGAGG
rnacentral:rRNA from 1 species